UAACAGAGGGGGCAAGGCGUUAUUCGGAAUUAUUGGGCGUAAAGGGCGCGUAGGCGGCUUGGCAAGUGGAAGGUGAAAUCCCUCGGCUUAACCGAGGAACUGCCCUCCAAACUGCUUCGCUUGAGACCGGGAGAGGUGAGUGGAAUUCCCAGUGUAGCGGUGAAAUGCGUAGAUAUUGGGAGGAACACCAGUGGCGAAGGCGGCUCACUGGACCGGUACUGACGCUGAUGCGCGAAAGCGUGGGGAGCAAACAGG
rnacentral:rRNA from 1 species